GUGAAUGGACAUCCCGGGUUAUUUCCAGUUUGGGAUCGUUAUAAACAAUGCUUGUUUAUGUGUCUGACUGCCUAUACAUGAGUUAAUAUUUAUCAAGAAGUGGAAUUUCUGGGUCAUAAGAAACAGGUCCCCCUAGGGCCACCUCUUGGGUCCUUCCCCUGCUACUCACAGCUGGAUCUGCCCAGGCCCCCUCAUCAGAAGAACCCAGGAAGCCACCUCCCCAGUGCUCACCUUGUAUCUCAGCUGCUUGAGUCAUGUGGCCUCAGGAGCCUGGGAAUUGAACUCAGGAUCUUGUGCUUGCCAGGGAGGCAGAGCACCACUGCACCACUGAACUACAUCCUUGACCCCAGGCCUAAUAAAAUUUUAAAACAGGAUCUGAAAUAAUCACACUCUUUUCAAGUAACUUAACUGCAUCCUUCAAUAAGACUAUUUAUAUGAAUACAUAUAUUCUUCAUUUAACGACUUACCUGUUUAAUAACUGUUGGACUUACAACCAAGGCAUGCUGUUUGGACUUAUGACCAUUUUAUUGUACAGUUCUGUACAUCUUAUUUACAGAGUCUCCAUGUCUUUUUUUGUAAAGUAUACCUUGUUUAUACAGUACUGCAAUUUUUGCUGAUUGUACCAUACAUUACAGUGCUAUAGUUUUAUGUUCAGUUAUACAUUACAGUAUUGCAUGGAAGAGUGAUGCAAAUAAAAGCAAAGUCAUCAAGUUGGAGUUUCUUUCAACCAUUUCUUUGUUCUGAAUAUUGUAACAUACACACCAUAUACAAUUCCUCAUUUAGCAUCUGAUUCAGGUAAUGACCUAGUUGCAGGACCAUGACUCAGUCAUCAAACAAGGAAUGUCUGUAGCCUGUUGUGUUUUAGGGACAUUCACUAGGCAUG
rnacentral:lncRNA from 1 species